GGUUAAAAAGCUCGUAGUUGGAUUUCUGUCGAGGACGGCCGGUCCGCACUAUGUGCGUGUAUCUGGUUUGGCCUUGGCAUCCUCUUGGGGAACGUCGCUGCGCUUGAUUGCGUGGCGCGGUGCUCAGACUUUUACUUUGAGGAAAUUAGAGUGUUCACGGCAGGCAAUCGCCCUGAAUAUGUUAGCAUGGAAUAAUAAUAUAGGAUUUCAGGCCUAUUUUGUUGGUUUCUAGGCUUGAGAUAAUGAUUAAUAGGGAUAAUUGGGGGCAUUCGUAUUAACGCGUCAGAGGUGGAAUUCUUGGAUUGCGUUACGACGAACUACUGCGAAAGCAUUUGCCAAGGAUGU
rnacentral:rRNA from 1 species